GAUGAACGCUGGCGGCGUGCCUAAUACAUGCAAGUCGAGCGAACGGACGAGAAGCUUGCUUCUCUGAUGUUAGCGGCGGACGGGUGAGUAACACGUGGAUAACCUACCUAUAAGACUGGGAUAACUUCGGGAAACCGGAGCUAAUACCGGAUGAUAUUUUGAACCGCAUGGUUCAAAAGUGAAAGACGGUCUUGCUGUCACUUAUAGAUGGAUCCGCGCUGCAUUAGCUAGUUGGUAAGGUAACGGCUUACCAAGGCAACGAUGCAUAGCCGACCUGAGAGGGUGACGGCCCACCCGGGACUCGAGCCACGUCCCCGCCCCCGACGGGGGGCACCAGUAGGGAUCUUCCCCCAAUGGCCCAAGCCCUGCCGGAGCCCCGCCGCGUGAUGGAUGAUGUUCUUCUGCUCUUAAACCUUUUUUAUUAGGGAAAACCAUAUGUUUAAGUACUUUUCCCCCCCUUGACGUUCCCUAAUAAGAAACCCACGCCUAACUCCGUC
rnacentral:rRNA from 1 species